UUUGAAACUGGUGAACUAGAGUACUGUAGAGGGGGGUAGAAUUUCAGGUGUAGCGGUGAAAUGCGUAGAGAUCUGAAGGAAUACCAGUGGCGAAGGCGGCCCCCUGGACAGAUACUGACACUCAGAUGCGAAAGCGUGGGGAGCGAACAGGAUUAGAUACCCUGGUAGUCCACGCCGUAAACGAUGUCUACUUGGAGGUUGUGGCCUUGAGCCGUGGCUUUCGGAGCUAACGCGUUAAGUAGACCGCCUGGGGAGUACGGUCGCAAGAUUAAAACUCAAAUGAAUUGACGGGGGCCCGCACAAGCGGUGGAGCAUGUGGUUUAAUUCGAUGCAACGCGAAGAACCUUACCUACUCUUGACAUCCAGAGAAGCCAGCGGAGACGCAGGUGUGCCUUCGGGAGCUCUGAGACAGGUGCUGCAUGGCUGUCGUCAGCUCGUGUUGUGAAAUGUUGGGUUAAGUCCCGCAACGAGCGCAACCCUUAUCCUUGUUUGCCAGCGAGUAAUGUCGGGAACUCCAGGGAGACUGCCGGUGAUAAACCGGAGGAAGGUGGGGACGACGUCAAGUCAUCAUGGCCCUUACGAGUAGGGCUACACACGUGCUACAAUGGCGCAUACAGAGGGCAGCAAGCUAGCGAUAGUGAGCGAAUCCCAAAAAGUGCGUCGUAGUCCGGAUUGGAGUCUGCAACUCGACUCCAUGAAGUCGGAAUCGCUAGUAAUCGUAGAUCAGAAUGCUACGGUGAAUACGUUCCCGGGCCUUGUACAC
rnacentral:rRNA from 1 species